AGGAAAAGUAUGACUGGUUAGGGCAAUGGCUGCGCUGUAUGAAUAUAACAUGAAUCUAUAAUGGAAAAAGUCUGACUGGGUGCUAGACUUCCUCCAGGAGCGUUCAGCACAACGGAGCAUCUUUGCAGGUAGCGUGUUGAUUUAGUAUGCCACAGUUAGGGCAUGUCAAGGCAAAGGUGAGGGUAGUAUUAUAUGUGGAGUGAGG